AGGGUUUGAUCAUGGCUCAGAACGAACGCUGGCGGCAGGCUUAACACAUGCAAGUCGAGCGAGGUCUUCGGACCUAGCGGCGGACGGGUUAGUAACGCGUGGGAACGUGCCCUUCACUGCGGAAUAGCCACUGGAAACGGUGAGUAAUACCGCAUACGCCCUUCGGGGGAAAGAUUUAUCGGUGAAGGAUCGGCCCGCGUCUGAUUAGAUAGUUGGUGGGGUAAUGGCCUACCAAGUCUACGAUCAGUAGCUGGUUUUAGAGGAUGAUCAGCAACACUGGGACUGAGACACGGCCCAGACUCCUACGGGAGGCAGCAGUGGGGAAUCUUAGACAAUGGGCGCAAGCCUGAUCUAGCCAUGCCGCGUGAGUGAUGAAGGUCUUAGGAUCGUAAAGCUCUUUCGCCAGGGAUGAUAAUGACAGUACCUGGUAAAGAAACCCCGGCUAACUCCGUGCCAGCAGCCGCGGUAAUACGGAGGGGGUUAGCGUUGUUCGGAAUUACUGGGCGUAAAGCGCGCGUAGGCGGAUCAGAAAGUUGGGGGUGAAAUCCCAGGGCUCAACCCUGGAACUGCCUCCAAAACUACUGGUCUAGAGUUCGAGAGAGGUGAGUGGAAUUGUGAGUGUAGAGGUGAAAUUCGUAGAUAUUCACAGGAACACCAGUGGCGAAGGCGGCUCACUGGCUCGAUACUGAC
rnacentral:rRNA from 1 species